AGAGAGAGACAUGCGCGCAUAUCAAUAAGCGGAGGAAAAGAAACUAACAAGGAUUCCCUUAGUAACGGCGAGUGAAGCGGGAAGAGCUCAAAUUUGAAAUCUUCAAGGUUUUACCUUGACGAAUUGUAGUUUAAAGAAGUGUUUUCUGCUGAAGUUUUGGUAAAAGUUCUUUGGAAUAGGACAUCAUAGAGGGUGAGAAUCCCGUAUUUGACCAUUAUUUUCAGCUUUGUGAUACACUUUCAAAGAGUCGGAUUGUUUGGGAAUGCAGUCCAAAAUGGGUGGUAAAUUUCAUCUAAAGCUAAAUAUUGGCGAGAGACCGAUAGCGAACAAGUACCGUGAGGGAAAGAUGAAAAGAACUUUGAAAAGAGAGUUAAACAGUACGUGAAAUUGUCAAAAGGGAAGCGUUUGACACCAGUGUUGUUUUCUCGAAAAUCAAUUAAAAAUGGCUCGAUUUUGUAUUGCUUGAGACCUUAAAAGCUCACUGUACAUUUUUCGUGUCUUUUUUAAUGCACUUUUCGUUUAACAAGUCAACAUCAGUUUCUUUUGUUGUAAAAGGGUCAUUGGAAGGUGGCUUUCUUUUCGGAGAAAGUGUUUAUAGCCUUUGGCCUCUGCAAUCGGAAGAGACUGAGGUCUGCAGCGUAGACUCUUCGGGGUUAGAUACAUUUGCUGCUAAGUUAUAGCUUUUUAUAGACAACUUGUUGACUAUAAUUAGUCUUGUAGCUUACUCGCUUAUGCUACUUUACCUACGCUUAGGAUGUUGAAGAUGUAGCACAUCAU
rnacentral:rRNA from 1 species